AAUUUUUUAAUUUAAUAAGUUUUUUGUUUCAUUGAUUUACGAAUCAUGAUUAAGUCAACUGAGAUCAUAGAGAUUGAAGAAAGUGGUGAAGAAAACAUAUGUAAGCUCACGGAGGAAGAGUUUUUUGAUUUAGACGAUAUUUUUUCGGUUUCCUCUUUAUUCUCAGGUUUAUAUUUGGUGGUAGGAGGUCAGAUAUUUUGGGAUUCCCAGCAGGCAUUAAGUUAUGAAAAAGCUUAUUUCAAUAAUGGAGCGAUGAUAGGUGUUGUUGCAUCUUUUACUUGGAAUUCAGCACCAUAUCAUCCAUUUCUCGAUAUAGACUGAAAAUAUAGAUGUAAAAUUUUCUCUCUAUUCGGCAUAAAUCAAAUAAUCAUGGCUAUUCUAUCAUUUUUUAUUUUGUACCUAUAUUACCUCAUGCCCGAAGAGGAUUUCAUAAAGACAUGUGGAUGGGAAUGUCCAUUACGAUUUUUUAUGAAAGGCAUGAGUUUGAGUUUUUGUGUUACAUUUCCGGUAUGUUAUUGUGUAUUAUGGUUGUGUUAUAGAUUUACAAAAUUCACGUUGCCACUAAUAUUUAUUUCGGAUUUUUUUCCCUCUUUGGUUUCCGAGGAAACCUAUUGUUCAUGUAAGAGCUGUCAGAGUUUCAUGACAGAGCCCGAACUUGGCCUAGGAUUGGACCAAGAUUUAAUUAAGAAAUAAAUCGCAUUCAUGUUUAUAAUAAAUGUUAUUCUUAAUAAUGG